GUAACGCCCGGCCCUGCCCCCAGCAGAGGCGGAAGCGGUGUCGCUCUGAGGGGUCGCCAGUCGCCGCAGGCGCUUCAGCCCAGCGGCGGGCCUUGGCCCUUGGCUGCCUACUCCUACCGCCCCAGCCCCGGGCGGCCCUGGGCCUGCUGCGGGCGCGGCGCUGCCCGACCAGAGCUUCCUGUGGAACGUCUUCCAGAGGGUCGAUAAAGACAGGAGUGGAGUGAUAUCAGACACCGAGCUUCAGCAAGCUCUCUCCAACGGAUGAAGCUCCACCCGCCCUUCAGGAUGCAAAGCCCUCCUCUAUAAAGUGCAUGCGGGGCCAGAUGCAGUGGCUCACAUCUGACCUCCCAACACUUUGGGAGGCCGAGGCAGGGGGAUCGCUUGAGCCCAGGAGUUUGAGACCAGCCUGGACAACAUUGAUGAAGCCCCACCCGCCCUUCAGGAUGCCAGCCUUGGCAACAUCGUGAGACCCUGUUUCUACAAAAACUAAACAAGUGUAGUGGUGCACGCCUGUAUUCCCAGCUACUUGGGAGGCUGAGAUGGGAAGAUCACUUGAGCCUGGGAGGUUGAGGCUGCAUUGAGCUGAGAUCAAGCCACGGCACUCCAGCCUGGGAGACAGAGCGAAACCCCAUCUCAAAAAAACAAAGAAAGUGGAUGCGUGCUGCUCCUGCCAUUGGAUCAUCGCAGCAUUUUUCUUUUCUCUGAUAUGCGCCUUUUUCCUCAUCGUGGGGGCUCAUGUUUUCGUAAUUCCCUCUCGCUACUAGAUUGUGAGCUGUGUGAAGGAAGGUUCAUAGUUGAGUUGUAUGUACAGGCACACAAAAUUUGUCCUUGGAUAGACACAUAUCAAUCCACUUCCUUCUCCUCUCUGAAUUUCUUUAUUUAAAAAAAAAAGUAGAGAUGGAGUCUCACUGUCUUGCCCAGGCUGGUGUCAAACUCCUAGGCUCAAGUGAUCCUCCCACCUCUACUAAUAUGAAUUAUUAGGCUAUGCUAAUAUGAAUUUGUAUACUAAUAUGAUUGAAAUUAGUUUGACUUCUAUAAUAAUUGUUCUCCCAGAUUGGGCUUCUGUUUUGAUAGUAGAACUAAAUUAUUAGGCUAUUUCAAGAAAUUAAUAUAUUACUGGUAGAAAAACUGAAGCUACAAAAUGGCCUGGUUUCUCACUUCAGUUAAAUUUGUGCUUCUGAGUGCUUGUAUUCUAGGUGAAACCGCACUGAGAAGGUAUUUGUGGCCUAUACGCUGAUUCAUUGAUUAGACUUCUUUGCACAGGAGAGCUGCUAAAAAUUACUGCGGUGAACAGGUACGAAGAAAAAGACUGUUCUCUGCCCUUCUUUUUGCAAUAAAAUGUUACAAACUAUCUUGAGUUUG
rnacentral:lncRNA from 1 species